UACGUAGGGGGCAAGCGUUGUCCGGAGUUACUGGGCGGAAAGCGCACGCAGGCGGUCUCUUAAGUUUGGAGUGACAGUUGGUGGCUUAACUGCCAAAGUGCUUCGAAAACUGAGAGACUUGAGGGCUUCAGAGGGACACGGAAUUCCGGGUGGAGUGGUGAAAUGCGUAGAGAUCCGGAGGAACACCAAAGGCGAAGGCAGUGUCCUGGGGAGUACCUGACGCUCAGGUGCGAAAGCCAGGGGAGCGAACGGG
rnacentral:rRNA from 1 species